AACGAACGCUGGCGGCAGGCUUAACACAUGCAAGUCGAACGCCCCGCAAGGGGAGUGGCGCACGGGUGAGUAACGCGUGGGAAUAUGCCCUUCGGUUCGGAAUAACACAGGGAAACUUGUGCUAAUACCGGAUACGAUCUACGGAUGAAAGAUUUAUCGCCGAGGGAGUAGCCCGCGUAGGAUUAGCUAGUUGGUGAGGAAAUGGCUCACCAAGGCGACGAUCCUUAGCUGGUCUGAGAGGAUGAUCAGCCACACUGGGACUGAGACACGGCCCAGACUCCUACGGGAGGCAGCAGUGGGGAAUCUUAGACAAUGGGGGCAACCCUGAUCUAGCCAUGCCGCGUGGGUGAUGAAGGCCUUAGGGUCGUAAAGCCCUUUCGCUGGGGAAGAUAAUGACGGUACCCAGUAAAGAAACCCCGGCUAACUCCAUGCCAGCCGCCGCCGUAA
rnacentral:rRNA from 1 species